GACAGAGGGUGCAAACGUUGCUCGGAAUCACUGGGCGUAAAGGGCGUGUAGGCGGGAAGGAAAGUCAGAUGUGAAAUCCCCAGGCUCAACCUGGGAACUGCAUUUGAAACUCCCUUUCUUGAGUACCGGAGAGGAAAGUGGAAUUCCUGGUGUAGAGGUGAAAUUCGUAGAUAUCAGGAGGAACACCAGUGGCGAAGGCGGCUUUCUGGACGGUAACUGACGCUGAGAACGCGGAAAGCGUGGGGAGCAAACAGG
rnacentral:rRNA from 1 species